rnacentral:tRNA from 1 species
GGGUUCUUAGCUCAGUUGGUUCAGAGCACCUGCCUUACAAGCAGGGGGUCGCAGGUUCGAAUCCUGCAGAACCCACCA